rnacentral:rRNA from 1 species
ACAACCUGCCCUUAGGUUGGGUAUAAACCCGGGAAACUGGGUAUAAUACCCGAUAGGUCUCGAUUGCUGGAAUGCAUCGAGAUUUAAAGCUCCGGCGCCUAAGGAUGGGUCUGCGGCCUAUCAGGUAGUAGUGGGUGUAGCGUACCUACUAGCCUACGACGGGUACGGGUUGUGAGAGCAAGAGCCCGGAGAUGGAUUCUGAGACACGAAUCCAGGCCCUACGGGGUGCAGCAGGCGCGAAAACUUUACAAUGCUGGCAACAGCGAUAAGGGAACCUCGAGUGCCAGGUUACAAAUCUGGCUGUCGAGAUGCCUAAAAAGCAUUUCAUAGCAAGGGCCGGGCAAGACCGGUGCCAGCCGCCGCGGUAACACCGGCGGCUCGAGUGGUAACCGUUAUUAUUGGGUCUAAAGGGUCUGUAGCCGGCCGGAUAAGUCUCUUGAGAAAUCUGGCAGCUUAACUGUCAGGCUUUCAGGAGAUACUGUCUGGCUCGAGGCCGGGAGAGGUGAGAGGUACUACAGGGGUAGGGGUGAAAUCUUGUAAUCCUUGAAGGACCACCAGUGGCGAAGGCGUCUCACCAGAACGGACCUGACGGCAAGGGACGAAAGCUAGGGGCACGAACCGGAUUAGAUACCCGGGUAGUCCUAGCCGUAAACGAUACUCGCUAGGUGUCGGCCACGGUGCGACCGUUGUCGGUGCCGUAGGGAAGCCGUGAAGCGAGCCACCUGGGAAGUACGGCCGCAAGGCUGAAACUUAAAGGAAUUGGCGGGGGAGCACCACAACGGGUGGAGCUUGCGGUUUAAUUGGAUUCAACGCCGGAAAUCUUACCGGGACCGACAGCAAUAUGAAGGCCAGGCUGAAGACUUUGCCGGAUUAGCUGAGAGGUGGUGCAUGGCCGUCGUCAGUUCGUACUGUGAAGCAUCCUGUUAAGUCAGGCAACGAGCGAGACCCACGCCCACAGUUGCCAGCGUACUCUCUGGAGUGACGGGUACACUGUGGGGACCGCCGCUGCUAAAGCGGAGGAAGGAAUGGGCAACGGUAGGUCAGUAUGCCCCGAAUAUCCCGGGCUACACGCGAGCUACAAUGGUUGGUACAAUGGGUAUCUACCCCGAAAGGGGACGGGAAUCUCCUAAAACCAAUCUUAGUUCGGAUUGAGGGCUGCAACUCGCCCUCAUGAAGCUGGAAUCCGUAGUAAUCGCGUUUCAACAGAACGCGGUGAAUACGUCCCUG